rnacentral:rRNA from 1 species
GAAUUUUGGGCAAUGGGCGAAAGCCUGACCCAGCAACGCCGCGUGAGGGAUGAAGGCCUUCGGGUCGUAAACCUCUGUCGGGAGGGAAGAGUGUCCCUGGGGUGAACAAUCCCGGGGGUUGACGGUACCUCUAGAGGAAGCGCCGGCUAACUCCGUGCCCGCAGCCGCGGUAAGACGGAGGGCGCAAGCGUUGUUCGGAAUCAUUGGGCGUAAAGCGCGGGUAGGCGGCUUGGCAAGUCGAGUGUGAAAGCCCGGGGCUCAACCCCGGAAGGUCGCUCGAAACUGCCUCGCUCGAGUACCGGAGAGGAAGGCGGAAUUCCCGGUGUAGAGGUGAAAUUCGUAGAUAUCGGGAGGAACACCAGCGGCGAAGGCGGCCUUCUGGACGGUGACUGACGCUGAGACGCGAAAGCGUGGGGAGCAAACAGG